GUUUGUAUAUGCUUUGAGAUCACAAAUGCCAAAAAUCACAAAAAACAAACAUUCAGAGAUCAAGUAAUGAGACAAAACUUUUCGACGGUGAUAAAACAAAAAAUCACGAUUUAACGGUUAUUUUAACUUCGAUUUUGAUAAUUUUUUACUAGUACACUUUUUGACCCUAUACGAAUACAAUGAAUGAAUUUGAUCGUCAAUUUAAAAUAUUUACACAAGUGGAUACCACAAAAUCUUAUGUUAUACUUAAUGAAAGUAUAAAUAAACUCUAAGUGUUAGUGAAUCUAUCGUUUUGAUGGGAUACGAAUUCUAUGAAACUAAUUUCAACGAUCCAACCAUCAAUCUUGUUUGUAUAUGCUUCGAGAUCGCAUACGCCAAAAAUCACAAAAAAAAAACAUUCAGAGAUCAAGUAAUGAGACAAAACUUUUCGACGGUUAUAAAACAAAAAAUCACGAUUUAACGGUUAUUUUAACUUCGAUUUUGAUAAUUUUUUACAACUACACUUGUUGACCCUAUAU
rnacentral:lncRNA from 1 species